rnacentral:rRNA from 1 species
UAAGGGAUAUUGCGCCAAUGGGCGAAAGCCUGACGCAGCAACGCCGCGUGCGGGAUGACGGCCUUCGGUUGUAAACCGCUUUCGAGGAGAAGAGGCAGGACGGUAUCCUCGGAAGAAGUCUCGGCUAACUACGUGCCAGCAGCCGCGGUAAAACGUAGGAGGCAAGCGUUAUCCGGAUUUACUGGGUGUAAAGCGCGCGCAGGCGGUUCGUUAAGGGGGUGUGAAAGCGCUCAGGCUCAACCGGGCGAGGACAUGUCCGACUGGCGAACUGGAAGCAGGUAGAGGCGGGUGGAAUUCCGGGUGUAGUGGUGAAAUGCGUAGAGAUCCGGAGGAACACCAGUGGCGAAGGCGGCCCGCUGGGCCUGACUUGACGCUCAGGCGCGACAGCAUGGGGAGCGAACGGGAUUAGAAACCCCGGUAGUCCAUGCCGUAAACGAUGUGGACUGGGUGUGGCGUCGCAAGAGGCUGUGCCGAACCCAACGGGAUAAGUCCACCACCUGGGGACUACGGCCG